UCGAGAUUUGCUGAGACGUUUGGUUCCCCAGUGCCUAUGCCAGUAGUUUUAUUCGGUGCGCGCUUGUUCAGCUGCCUUGCCGUGGCUCUGCCUGCAGAGCGGGAGCACUAAAACCAACCGCACACUCUGACGUACGAUCACGUGUUGGGCCACCAUUGGCCCACCAGGUUUGGCUUCAAUUGCGUUGCGGUCUCUUCCCACGUCGGCUCGCAGGGAGUCCGGGUACAGCCUCCUCGCGAGAACCUGCCGAGGAAAAUAUGGCGGCCUGCUGUUUAGCGCUCUCGCGGGAGACUCGCUUGCGAGACGCAGACCUCUGCCCUCCACGACGCCCUCAGGGGUCUUUUAAUUCAACGUGCAUUCGCUCCUUGUUCAUUGAAGCUGGCACAGGCUGAAACUGAACUGAAGGGGUCUGCCGGGCCGACGAGCUCCUUGAGGUGCAGAGCCGAGUUCUGGGAAUCCGACGAGCUCCUGACUUCCAUGGCUAGACAUGGACCACUGCACAGUUGUUGCACCAUGGUCUGCGGCG